AUACGAAGGGGGCAAGCGUUGUUCGGAAUAACUGGGCGUAAAGCGCACGUAGGCGGAAUGUUAAGUUAGAGGUGAAAUCCCAGGGCUCAACCCUGGAACGGCCUUUAAUACUGGCAAUCUAGAGACCGAGAGAGGUGAGUGGAAUUCCGAGUGUAGAGGUGAAAUUCGUAGAUAUUCGGAGGAACACCAGUGGCGAAGGCGGCUCACUGGCUCGGUACUGACGCUGAGGUGCGAAAGCGUGGGGAGCAAGCAGGAUUAGAUACCCUAGUAGUCC
rnacentral:rRNA from 1 species